rnacentral:rRNA from 1 species
GCCCGCGCACCGGGAAUACGCUCUGGAAACGGAGAACAAAUCCCGAUGUACAGGAAGGAGGCAUCUUCUUUCUGUGAAACAUCCUUUCGGGGAUGGGGCGCGGAUGGACCUGCGGUGCAUUAGUUGGUUGGCGGGGUAAAGGCCCACCAAGACGAUGAUGCAUAGCCGGCCUGAGAGGGCGGACGGCCACAUUGGGACUGAGACACGGCCCAGACUCCUGCGGGAGGCAGCAGUAGGGAAUUUUCGUCAAUGGGCGCAAGCCUGAACGAGCGAUGCCGCGUGAGUGAAGAAGGCCUUCGGGUCGUAAAGCUCUGUUGCGGGGGGAAAAAGGCAGCAUCAGGAAAUGGGUGCUGACUGAUGGUGCCCCGCCAGAAAGUCACGGCUAACUACGUGCCAGCAGCCGCGGUAAUACGUAGGUGGCGAGCGUUAUCCGGAAUGAUUGGGCGUAAAGGGUGCGCAGGCGGUCCUGCAAGUCUGGAGUGAAACGCAUGAGCUCAACUCAUGCAUGGCUUUGGAAACUGGAGGACUGGAGAGCAGGAGAGGGCGGUGGAACUCCAUGUGUAGCGGUAAAAUGCGUAGAUAUAUGGAAGAACACCAGUGGCGAAGGCGGCCGCCUGGCCUGUUGCUGACGCUGAGGCACGAAAGCGUGGGG